rnacentral:rRNA from 1 species
UACGUAGGGGGCUAGCGUUGCUCGGAAUCACUGGGCGUAAAGCGCACGUAGGCGGAUUGCUAAGUCGGGGGUGAAAUCCUGGAGCUCAACUCCAGAACUGCCUUCGAUACUGGAGAGCUUGAGUCCGGGAGAGGUGAGUGGAACUGCGAGUGUAGAGGUGAAAUUCGUAGAUAUUCGCAAGAACACCAGUGGCGAAGGCGGCUCACUGGCCCGGUACUGACGCUGAGGUGCGAAAGCGUGGGGAGCAAACAGG